rnacentral:lncRNA from 1 species
UAUGGGAUUGGAUUUGGAUCUGAAGAAAAACUCACAAAAAUUUACAAAUUGAGUGCGUGACAGUGUGAGAGAAAAAAUGAGGAUAAAAUAACUGAUCACAUGAGAUUGCCGGUGAGAAGAGACGGGGUUGAGUAGGAGAAGGAAGGGUAAAUUUGGAACCGGAAGACAGGAUUAGACACGUGGCAGUUAAUGGGACGGUAUUCUAGAGUCUCUGUGACUUUCUCACUGGAGGGAAAUUGACGGUUGAGAUUUUACUUCUACAGUCAUGGGCUCCACACGGGAGGAAAUUGUGGACGUACGAUUGCAUUGAGAGUAUGAUUUCCCGUGAUAAUGGAAAUCCGCGGUUAGUGAAUAAGUUAAUGAUAAAUUCGAUGUAUUUAAUUAUUCAUCAAUUAAUUUUUGUGAUAUUCAUCGAUACUUAACUUAUGUUAAGCACC